rfam:Triticum aestivum genome assembly, contig: Triticum_aestivum_CS42_TGACv1_scaffold_253155_3DL
GAUCUACUCCCUCCGUUCGGAAUUACUUGUCGUAGAAAUGGAUGUAUCUAGACGUAUUUUAGUUCUAAAGACAUCCAUUUCCGAGACAAGUAAUUCCGAACGGAGGGAGUAUACU